AGUGGCGGACGGGUGAGUAAUGCUUGGGAAUCUGGCUUAUGGAGGGGGAUAACUGUGGGAAACUGCAGCUAAUACCGCGUAUUCUCUGAGGAGGAAAGGGUGGGACCUUAGGGCCACCUGCCAUAAGAUGAGCCCAAGUGGGAUUAGGUAGUUGGUGGGGUAAAGGCCUACCAAGCCUGCGAUCUCUAGCUGGUCUGAGAGGAUGACCAGCCACACUGGAACUGAGACACGGUCCAGACUCCUACGGGAGGCAGCAGUGGGGAAUAUUGCGCAAUGGGGGGAACCCUGACGCAGCCAUGCCGCGUGAAUGAAGAAGGCCUUCGGGUUGUAAAGUUCUUUCGGUAAUGAGGAAGGGAUGUUGUUAAAUAGAUAGCAUCAUUGACGUUAAUUACAGAAGAAGCACCGGCUAACUCCGUGCCAGCAGCCGCGGUAAUACGGAGGGUGCGAGCGUUAAUCGGAAUAACUGGGCGUAAAGGGCACGCAGGCGGACUUUUAAGUGAGAUGUGAAAUCCCCGAGCUUAACUUGGGAACUGCAUUUCAGACUGGGAGUCUAGAGUACUUUAGGGAGGGGUAGAAUUCCACGUGUAGCGGUGAAAUGCGUAGAGAUGUGGAGGAAUACCGAAGGCGAAGGCAGCCCCUUGGGAAUGUACUGACGCUCAUGUGCGAAAGC
rnacentral:rRNA from 1 species